rnacentral:rRNA from 1 species
GAUGAACGCUGGCGGCGUGCCUAAUACAUGCAAGUCGAGCGAACGGACGGGAAGCUUGCUUUUCUGAUGUUAGCGGCGGACGGGUGAGUAACACGUGGAUAACCUACCUAUAAGACUGGGAUAACUUCGGGAAACCGGCGCUAAUACCGGAUAAUAUUUUGAACCGCAUGGUUCAAAAGUGAAAGACGGUCUUGCUGUCACUUAUAGAUGGAUCCGCGCUGCAUUAGCUAGUUGGUAAGGUAACGGCUUACCAAGGCAACGAUGCAUAGCCGACCUGAGAGGGUGAUCGGCCACACGGGAACUGAGACAGGGUCCAGACUCCUACGGGAGGCAGCAGUAGGGAAUCUUCCGCAAUGGGCGAAAGCCUGACGGAGCAACGCCGCGUGAGUGAUGAAGGUCUUCGGAUCGUAAAACUCUGUUAUUAGGGAAGAACAUAUGUGUAAGUAACUGUGCACAUCUUGACGGUACCUAAUCAGAAAGCCACGGCUAACUACGUG